rnacentral:misc_RNA from 1 species
AACGCACAUUGCGCCCGCCAGUAUUCUGGCGGGCAUGCCUGUUCGAGCGUCAUUUCAACCCUCAAGCGCCCGCUUGGUGUUGGGGGCCGGCGGGGGGCGAACAACCGCCCCCCCAGCCGCCCCCGAAAUGAAUUGGCGGCCCCGUCGCAGCCCUCCUCUUGCGCAGUAGCACACCUCGCAUCGGGAGCUCGGCGGCGGCCACUGCCGUAAAACGCCCAACCUUCUCUCAGAAGUUGACCUCGGAUCAGGUAGGACUACCCGCUGAACUUAA